rnacentral:lncRNA from 1 species
UUCUGGUAACUUUGUCAUCCCUGGAGGAAUCUGCAAUAAUUGGGUCGAUGUUGAUGUUUCAACAGUUCUCCAUAAGUCCACGUAAUGUGUUCACUUUUGUUUAAAAAACCCUUCUCCCAUGCCAAAAGGAGAAGUGAUGACAUUGUUGGCAUAUUAAUACAAUGAUGUUCAUUCAAAAAUUACAUGUCAAAUGUUUGUUUUUCC